CAGUGGCUGACUUGUGCAUAGAAAAACUUUACAUAUGCUGGUCUUCCGAGAUAACGAGCUUUCCGGGCCCUUUUUUUACCCCAUUAACAAUCAAGCUAUCCAAACAAUACACCCUGUAGCAUUAGUCUAGGAUCCCCAGAAGCCCGUUGACCCAAAUGGUCCGUGGGUCAUUGUGACGAUACCGAUUGCAAGGCAUACAUGAGUAAUGGCAUUGUGCCUUUACUGCACUGAUAAAUCUGAUUUCAAGGCAUCCAAGACAGGGAUUGAGCGGUGAAGAUGUGUUGCAAUAUGUAAGUUAUCUCAUCCUCAUUCUUCCAAGCAACACACUUUCCUAACCAUUUUUGAAUCCAUUUCUUUCUUGUGUAACUUCAAUUAUAUCAACUUAUAUUUUGCCAAUUCACCGCCAUCUCCAAACGAGUACCAUUCCUCCCAUCCCGUCAACCUGGCUAGGACGCAGCUGGAUCAGAUGGAGGUAGGCUCUAGAUCCUGGGACUGCGCGAAGGUCUCCAACAAUAUCUCAGGGUCGUUGGGUCCAUCCGCAAGACUCAAAUCGUCUUUCUCGUUUCCAUCAUUGUUGAAUGAUAGGUUUUAAGAACUGAUACCAACGCUUAGCUCUCUCUAACCAGAGUCAGAUAGAGGAAAGCAGUUAAUACCAUGUUACUAUGGACCUAUAUACGUUUCUACACUCGCUACUACAAACUAAACGAUAUCUAGUCCCCUCAAUCUCCACUCUCUUCCCGCCCCCCCCCCCCCUUACCACAGUUACUCAACAAUCAUCAACCCUGCCAAAGCUCGUUCCUUCUGCCUGGCUUCUGGCCUCAGUUCCCUGGGCAGACAACCAGUCAUGUAGGGUCUCAGAUAUAGGCACCUUGAAUGCCCUUUGAAGCAUUUGGCGAUAAACCACACUAUCGUCCCCACAUCGACAGUGCCAUAACCUAACAACUGCCUCAGGCGAGGGGUAUGAUGGUGGUUUCAAAUGUUUCUGGAUGGAAAGCCAGAGGCUGCGAUGUUGGACUUUGAGAAGUUCUGGGAGAGUCGGUUUGUUCGGGUUAGGGUAGAAGCCCUCGGCCAGGUCGGAAGGUAAGUUGUGGGGCUCGGAGACAUUGGGUGAUUCAAACAUUUGGAUGAGCUGUUCAUCUACCAUGCCCUUUGUCGCAUGGAUUUCGGGCACGCGCAAGGUAUUGACAGUGGCGCCCUGUGUGCCCUUCGGCACCGACUGCUGGAGUCGGAACCCUAUGGAACUGUCAAGAUAUUCCCAUGGUAGGUGGAAUACCUUUGUGGGCUGUGGGCGCUCUGCGACCGGUAGACUUCGAAUGCUGUCCAAAUGGCUGUUCGGAUCUAUGAUUUCACGGUCAACUCCAAGGGGCAAAAUAUACCUAGCAGCUACCACUUACUAUAUCCGACCACCACCAAACUUCGAGGGCUACCCAUCGUGGCUCGUCUGUCCUCUCUUGCCCAUAGAGGUCGCAGAGGAUUUUGAACUCAUCGUAAUCAUUGGAACCGGUUGUCGAGUCUUCAUCGUCUUGAGAGUCCGUUGUGUUUCGGUUGGAAGACAAGCCAUGGACGGUUGCCUCCGUGUGACCGACAAGCAGCAAUAAUUUUAGGAUCCCUCGCUUGAAUGCAGCCCAAAUAAGUUCGGUCUCCCGGCAUUGGGCGAAGGGAAUGUUGAAGUUAGAUUCGAUCCCAUGUACUCAACUGUAUGUUAGAUGUUGUUCGAUAUGAUGAUUAAGGUCUUAGUAAACACUUUCGGGGUUAACCCUGGCACGAAUCUCGUUGCUCCUUCGAUUUUGUUUUGUUUUGUUUUUUAUUUUUUUAUUUUUCAUCUUCGCGAUGCCUUACAGGUAUUAGUCGUUUCCUUUUAUGAAUCUCUUCCCGG
rnacentral:sRNA from 1 species